CACGGCUACACUGGAGCGAUCAGUCUUUUCCAUAGAGGCACAUUCAAAGCAGCGUGGUGCUGACGUGUUGAACCGAGGGCUGCUAUGCGAACAGAGAUAGUUGUUAACUCCUUCACUGACAAAUACAUACAGAUAUUAAAGGCUGUAGAGAGAUGCUGUCUAAUCGCAUCUAGAAAUUGAAAGAACACUAGUAGCUGUGCACAGAUGCAGUUCAUAUUUUCCCCCAAUCUUGAUGGGAUGUUCUCUUUUCUUUAGGCGUCACAUCGAUCAGAGCCUGAAGUCACAGUCCAGGAGCUUGUCAAACCCUUCAACAAUUAGGCUGCUAGUUCAGAGAAUACAGAACCAAAGUACCAAG
ensembl:lncRNA